GGUUUUAUUGUAAUGUAUGAUUUUAGGGAUAAUGAUGAAUGGUGAAAAUCGAGGAUCGAAAGAGCAGCAGAAAAUGAUUGAAAGCAAAGUGUACAGACGGAAGUCGUUUAAAGGGUUAAAUAACACAGGUGAUGGGUUACAACAUCCGCAUUCUCAAAUUCUAGGUAUGGAAGAUGUCAAUUCAUCCCAAAAGAUAGUUGGUUUGCGCUUACAAGCGGCCUCAGAAGGUUCUUCGAGUCUGAACCGUUCCCUAACAUUGGGUAAUACUGGAAUAUUGGCAGGUAAUGAUCAAGAAAAUAGUGCUAGAAUCAAUUUAUCGUUCAAGUCCAAGCGGGAGAUGAGAGAGGUAAGAAGGAAGUUGCAGAGUGAAUUAGACUUGGUUAGGAGUUUGGUGAAGAAGAUUGAGGCAAAAGAUGUACAGAAGACUGUUCCUGAAAUUGAUAAGGAUAGUGGGGUUCGACGGGUACAUUCAGAUGUGUCAAAAAUGGGGCAACACCUUGAGUCUAGGCCUUUGGAUCAAUUAAGUGUAUCAGUUUUGGAGAACAGCCAUGGUGUGGGUGAUAAUGUGGAGAAAGAGAAGAGGACACCAAAGGUAAACCAAUUUUAUAGGAACUCAGAUUUUUUAUUAGCUAAAGACAAAAUUCCUCCAACAGAAAGCAACAAGAAGUCGAAAUCGAAUGCAAAGAAAGUGAGUGGGCCAGAAUCAGGACAUGAUAUUGGGCCCGGGAAGUUCUCAAAUCAAAUGAUAAAGACUUGUCGUGCUUUGCUUGAAAGAUUGAUGAAGCACAAACAUGGUUGGGUGUUUAAUCAGCCUGUUGAUACAGAAGGUCUUGGUUUACAUGACUAUUUUGACAUUAUUAAGAAUCCAAUGGAUCUGGGUACUGUGAAAUCUAGGCUGGAAACCAAUCUGUACAAGUCUCCUAAAGAAUUUGCCGAGGAUGUGAGACUUACAUUUCAAAAUGCUAUGACGUAUAAUCCAAAGGGCCAAGAUGUUUAUAUGAUGGCAGAGCAACUUUCCAAGAUAUUUGAGGAAAAGUGGCCCUCUAUAGAGGCUGAUUAUAUGCGUGAGUUGAGAUUAUCAAUGGACGCUGAGGUGAGUUUGCAGACUCCUAAAUCCAAGAAACCUCCUUCCCAACCAUUGCGGCCCUCUGGAGUGAGGAGGACUUCACACCGGUCAGAAUCAACAACCAAUCCUGUUGGUUCCAAGACUAAAUCUGUCACUCUCUCCCAAGCUGGAAGGACUCCUGCACCAAAGAAGCCAAAGGCAAAGGAUCCCAAUAAAAGGGAGAUGACAUAUGAUGAAAAGCAAAAGCUUAGCACAAGCCUACAGAAUUUACCAUCUGAAAAGCUUGAAAACGUUGUACAGAUAAUCAAAAAGAGGAAUUCAUCUCUUUGCCAACAGGAUGAUGAAAUUGAAGUGGAUAUUGACAGUGUUGAUACUGAGACCCUAUGGGAGCUUGACAGGUUUGUUACCAAUUACAGAAAAUUCUUGAGCAAGAACAAAAGAAAAACUGAACUUGCAGAUCAAGAAAAAAGGGUAACUGAGAAGAACGUUCAGGAGAAGGAUGCUAGCUCAGCUGUGGUAGAAAUUCCAAAAGAAAGCAAAGCAGCAGAAGAGAAACACACUUCCUCCAAUCCUGCUCAACUAGAAAAUCAGGGAAAAGAUAUUGAUCAACCAAGCGGUUCUAACACUGACUCGGUGUCAUCAUCAAGUGAUUCCGAUAGCGAAAGGUCCUCAGGAGGUGGAGGUGGAUCCGAUGCUGAACAUUCACCCAAAAGUUGAAUCUGCUGUCCAAAUAUAGUGUUCUCUCAUUCAAUGUCUUGUGGUAAAUAUAGUGUUCUCUCAUUCAAUGUCUUGUGAUUCGAAAGUUGCUGCAGAUGGUAGUUGGUAGUUGCAUAUGCUGGCUGGUCUCUCAAUUUGUAUAAUAGUAGAAUCUAGUUUGUAGCUUUUUGUAUUGUUGCUUAUUGUGCAGGUCACAUGGACCUGUUGGGUCACUUGAAUGGGGUACAACUUAAAAACUUUCCACAACUUUUAGGCGCUCUCUGUACAUAUCCUAUGUUUCAAUGAAGUAAUAAAUCAAUUAGGUCAAUUAACUAA